CAGAGGUCGAGAUGAGGGCAGUGGGCACUGGGCUGUACACAAACGUGCCAGUGGGGCUGACAUGCACCCGGGACGGUGCUGUCUUAUCCACCCGGUUCUGAAUGGACCCAUCUCUCUCCACACCGCAGGAAGACAACCUGUCUGGUUUGCAUUAUUGGGUCCCAGACAGAGACAAUUUCAGAAACAAGAUGGAUAGCUCAUGGGAAUGACACCCAAGGCUGAACUCUAGUCUCUGUACACAAAACAGAGAGAAAGGUUUAUUUUGCAGGAUUGAAGAACUGGAUUUUGAAGAGGCAGGUUCAUGAUGUACAUCAGGGCCAGGCCUACCUCUAGCCAAGCCCUAGCAGGAGGAUGUGGAUGCUGGUGACCCCAGAGAACCACCAGAGUAAUGAGAUACAACCAGUCACAAACCAUUUUAAAGGAUACAUUUUACAUAAAACACUACCAAUGUUUAUCUUCUUACCUUUAAAUCUCUUAAUAGAUCGUAG
ensembl:lncRNA